GGCGCACGGGUGAGUAACGCGUACAUGACCUGCCCUAUACUGGGGGAUAGUCUUGGGAAACUGAGAAUAAUCCCGCAUGUGAUUAGAAUGCUGCAUGGCAAAUUAAUUAAAGCUGAGGCGGUAUAGGAUGGGUGUGCGUCUGAUUAGCUAGUUGGUAGUGUAACGGACUACCAAGGCGAUGAUCAGUAGGGGGCGUGAGAGCGUGACCCCCCACACGGGUACUGAGACACGGACCCGACUCCUACGGGAGGCAGCAGUAAGGAACAUUGGUCAAUGGAGGGAACUCUGAACCAGCCAUCCCGCGUGAAGGAUGAAGGGGCUCUGCCUUGUAAACUUCUUUUGCAUGGGACGAAAAAACUUAAUUUAUUAAGGACUGACGGUACCAUGAGAAUAAGCACCGGCUAACUCCGUGCCAGCAGCCGCGGUAAUACGGAGGGUGCGAGCGUUAUCCGGAAUCACUGGGUUUAAAGGGUGCGUAGGCGGUUUGAUAAGUCAGUGGUGAAAGGCCGUCGCUUAAC
rnacentral:rRNA from 1 species